AACUCGAUCCAAUGGCAUUCUCCAUCAUUUUGGGAAUAAUUAAUGAACAAAACCACUGGAUGUUGACGGUCAUCUACCCACACGAGAAGAGAUGCCUUUUUUUGGAUCCAUUGGGGGAAUCACAAAGGAACAUCAAGAGAUGCCUGGGGUCAACAAGGGCCUUUAUGCGAAAGAAAGGCUGCAACGUGACAAGGUGGGCAUGCAGCACCCUGGCCCAUGCAUGCCAGCAAGAUGGCACAUCAUGUGGUGUCCUGGCCUUAAAAUUAAGUGUACUGUACACUACUGAAACAAUGUGGACAACCUCAAGGUCAUUACCUUUUUUCAUAAGAGAAAUCCAUGACUUGGUUUCUUACAUGUUUGUGAUAUGUACCUUAAGUAGCCCAAAAAUUAUAUAUAUAAACUUGAGGUGCACCACCAAAAAUUGAGUGAUGGUUUAAUAUCUUAUAAACACAUGCUUACCUUAGCUUUUUGAUUGAUUGAUUGAUACUUUUAUUAGUAGAUUGCACAGUACAGUACAUAUUCCCUACAAUUGACCACUAAAUGGUAACACCCGAAUAAGUUUUUCAACUUGUUUAAGUCGGGGUCCACGUUAAUCAAUUCAUGGUAAAGCUGAAGCUGAAUAUUACUCAAAUCUCAUCCACCAUAAUAAAAAUGAUCCUAAAUUUUUGUCUAGUACGGUAGCAUCGCUAACCGAACAAGGGACCCCUUCCAGUAGCUCCACCCUGAUGACUAGCUGAUGACUUUAUGCAAUUCUUUCAUAAGAAAAUUGAAGUCAUUAGAAAGGAGAUUAAAGACAAUGCGUCCCAGCUACAACUGGGUUGUAUUAACACUGAUACGACUGUAUAUACGGUGGAUACUGCCCUCCAAAAUAUUUUCUCUCGAGUCGGGACCCAGGAUGGACCGCUCGGCUGUGUAUCGGCUGGGGACAUCUCUGCGCUGCUGAUCCGCCUCCGCUUGGGAUGGUUUCCUGCUGGCUCCGCUGUGAACGGGACUCUCGCGGCUGUGUUGGAUCCACUAUGGUCCCCAUCUUGCUAAUUUAUGUAUUCAUCAUAAGAUGCUUCAAUAAAUCAAUCAAUGUUUAUUUGUAUAGCCCUAAAUCACAAAUGUCUCAAAGGACUGUACAAACCACUACGACUACAACAUCCUCGGAAGAACCCACAUAAGGGCAAGGAAAACUCACACCCAGUGGGACGCCAGUGACAAUGAUGACUAUGAGAACCUUGGAGAGGACCACAUAUAGAGGACCGAAAGAAAUGGAUGUCGAGCG